rnacentral:pre_miRNA from 1 species
CUUGUACUCCUUCCGUUUGGAAAUACUUGUCGGGAAAAUAAAUGUAUCUAGACGUAUUUUAUUUUUACAUAUAUCUAUUUUUAUCCGUUUUUCCGACAAGUAUUUCUGAACGGGAAAGUAUCAA